AGCGGGUACGUAACGGUUGAGCAAAGAUUUACAUUAUUAUAGGCAC
rnacentral:sRNA from 1 species